rnacentral:lncRNA from 1 species
CGACAUGCUUGCAAUGUCAAGUGCCUCAAGUGUGGGAAGUGGGGAAGCAACAACGCGCGUGCUCAGAGUCUUUGAUAAUGACAGUGGAUGUCACAAAUUUGAUGCCGUGUGGGGCUGAUUGGCUGUUUACCAGGUAGUUUUCUGUAGUUGACGGAAGUUUCUCUCAAAGAGCAAAACGGUGUUUAUUUCAGAGAAUACAGUAACUGCGGUUACCAUGGACAAUGUGGAAAAUGUUAUGUUAAACACCUCGGUGCCCACCAGACGCCGGAUAUUUUGUUAAACCAAACCGUUGGUCAAAUAUAACGGGAGUGGUUCUUCCGGGAACGGCUAACUGCUAGCUUGUCAGGAGACUCUUCGUUGCUUUCCCUGUGUGUUCAGAGGAGAUUCACCUGGUCAAAAACAAAUUGACAGCCCAUACAAACGGGGAAUUGAACAGUAACAUGUGGAGGAGAAGAACAGUGAGUCAUCCUCCCAAGGUCAGCAAAUGGCCACCCUGUUUACUGAGCUUUCGUGCCCACCAAGGGUUCUCGAUCCUGGCUUCCACUCCAACCCCUGUGGUUCAGUUAUCUGCACGCCAGCACCAGAGGGCAGCUGCAUCGAGGCUUGCAUCAGGUGACCCAUGCUAAAAGGUGAAGCAGACGUGCGUGGACAAUCGGAUCAAACGGAUGCACUGAUUUUGACUGGAGGGAAGAGCCGCAGUUACUCACGGGGAUGUGCUGAUGCUGUGCCGAGUGAGGCGACCGGUGGAGGUAGGAUAUGAGUUACUUUGUGAGUGGCAGAAGAGAGGGGGAGUGGUGUCAUGAGGAAAGAUGUUUCUGAUUUACCCUCGCCUUCCC